rnacentral:rRNA from 1 species
UUCUGGCUCAGGAUGAACGCUAGCUACAGGCUUAACACAUGCAAGUCGAGGGCAUCAGGACGAUAGCUUGCUAUCGUCGCUGGCGACCGGCGCACGGGUGAGUAACGCGUAUCCAACCUGGCCCUUAGUAGGGAACAGCCCGGCGAAAGUCGGAUUAAUGCCCUAUGUUUUCCCAUGAGAGCAUUUGAAAGGGAAUAAAGAUUUAUCGCUAAGGGAUGGGGAUGCGUCUGAUUAGGUAGUAGGCGGGGUAACGGCCCACCUAGCCGACGAUCAGUAGGGGUUCUGAGAGGAAGGUCCCCCACAUUGGUACUGAGACACGGACCAAACUCCUACGGGAGGCAGCAGUGAGGAAUAUUGGUCAAUGGGCGAGAGCCUGAACCAGCCAAGUAGCGUGCAGGAAGACGGCCCUAUGGGUUGUAAACUGCUUUUGUGCGGGAAUAAAGUCAGGGACGCGUCCCUGUUUGCAUGUACCGUACGAAUAAGGACCGGCUAAUUCCGUGCCAGCCGCAGC